UACGUAGGGGGCAAGCGUUGUUCGGAAUUACUGGGCGUAAAGGGCGCGCAGGCGGCCGUUCAAGUCAGAUGUGAAAGCCCCGGGCUCAACCUUGGAAUUGCCUUUGAUACUGGCUGUCUUGAGUACGGGAGAGGUGAGUGGAACUGCGAGUGUAGAGGUGAAAUUCGUAGAUAUUCGCAAGAACACCAGUGGCGAAGGCGGCUCACUGGCCCGGUACUGACGCUGAGGUGCGAAAGCGUGGGGAGCAAACAGG
rnacentral:rRNA from 1 species